rnacentral:rRNA from 1 species
AGUGAACGCUGGCGGUAGGCCUAACACAUGCAAGUCGAACGGCAGCCCAGUAAGAGCUUGCUCUUACGGGUGGCGAGUGGCGGACGGGUGAGGAAUACAUCGGAAUCUACUUUUUCGUGGGGGAUAACGUAGGGAAACUUACGCUAAUACCGCAUACGACCUACGGUUGAAAGCAGGGGAUCUUCGGACCUUGCGCGAUUGAAUGAGCCGAUGUCGGAUUAGCUAGUUGGCGGGGUAAAGGCCCACCAAGGCGACGAUCCGUAGCUGGUCUGAGAGGAUGAUCAGCCACACUGGAACUGAGACACGGUCCAGACUCCUACGGGAGGCAGCAGUGGGGAAUAUUGGACAAUGGGCGCAAGCCUGAUCCAGCCAUACCGCGUGGGUGAAGAAGGCCUUCGGGUUGUAAAGCCCUUUUGUUGGGAAAGAAAAGCAGCAGGUUAAUACCCCGCUGUUCUGACGGUACCCAAAGAAUAAGCACCGGCUAACUUCGUG